GUGUGGGGAGCUGCAGUGAGCGUGCUGCUCAGGUAGUGUGGGUUAUAGGAGGUGUGUGGAGCUGCAGUGAGCGUGCUGCUCAGGUAGUGUGGGUUAUAGGAGGUGUGGGGAGCUGCAGUGAGCAUGCUGCUCAGGUAGUGUGGGUUAUAGGAGGUGUGUGGAGCUGCAGUGAGCGUGCUGCUCAGGUAGUGUAUGUUAUAGGAGGUGUGGGGAGCUGCAGUGAGCGGGC